ACUUCUAAAGUUGGCGGUGUUUCGUACCGGCCGCGGGAUUUCGCGGACUGGGGCGCUGAGGUUCUUUGAGCGGCGUGUGGACCUGAAUUCCCUGGAAACAGGCUGGGGCCGCGAGGGGCCUCCGCUCCGGGCGGGGUCCCCAGAUAGCCCCGCCUCGAAUAAAAAUGACGAGCACGGGUCCUCUCUCGGGCCCGCAGUGGGUGGACUGCGUCGCAGACCCGUAGUGGAGGCGCCCAGCUCGCCGGGGAGAUUCGAGUGGAAACCCUCACGGCCGCCGGUGGUGGGCCCCGGCGCGGCGCUGGGCUCCGGCGGGUCUGCGCUGGGGAGGGCCAGGGCCCCUGAAGCCGGCGUCCCUCUUAGGGGACGCGCCUGGGUGUGUCUUCACCGUUUGCCUGGUGAGUUGGAGACAGGGUCUCGCUCCGUCGCCCAGGCUGGAGUGCAGUGGUAGGAUCAGGGUUCAUUGUAGCCUCCGCCUCAGCCUCUGGAGUAGCUGGGACCUCAGGCGCGCGCCACCACGCCCGGCUAAUUUUUUAAAUUUUUUUGUAGAGACGGGGUUGGGGGAGGCGGGGGUUAGGGUUGUCCUGGCUGGUCUUGAACUGCGGGGCCUCAGGUGAUCCGCCUGCCUUGGCCUCCCAAAGUGCUGGGAUUACAGGCAUGAGCCACUGUGCCCGGCAAGCAGCUGUUAUAAAUAAAAUACAUGCUGAGCCUGCAAUUUGCUCUUAAUGAAGGCCACUUGUCAGUAGACGGUGCUGCUAAUGCGUGUCCUGCAGCAAAGAUAACCCAGACGGGAUCAUUUUUUAAUUGCCCAGCAGAACUUUAACCAGUUGUGCAUCUUAACCUGCUUUUUGUUUGUUCGUUUGUUUGUUUUGAGACAGUCUGGCCCUGUCGCCCAGGCUGGAGUGCCAUGGCGCGAUCUCGGUUCACUGCAGCCUCCACCUCCCGAGCACAGGCGAUCCUCCCGCCUCAGCCUCCAGAGCACCUGGGACCACAGGUGUCCACGCGCAGCCACUAACCGCUUUCUUAUCUGACACUUUAAGUGCUUCUUCGUACCCAGCUCCUCUAACGCCUUUUGAAGCAGCUCCAUCAUCUUUGAAGGGCAGUUCAUGCUGUUGAGAAUCAUGUUUUUAACUUUGGGAAAAUUGUAUUUCCACGAGCGCCAGCUCUGUCCUUUUUUUUUUUUUUUUUUUUUUUUUUUUUUGACGGAGUCUUGCUCGGUUCGCCCAGGCUGGAGUGCAGUGUCGCGAUCUCAGCUCACUGCAAGUUCUGUCGCCCAGGUUCACGCCAUUCUCCUGCCUCAGCCUCCCAAAUAGCUGGGACUACAGACACGCGCCACCACGCCCAGCUAAUUUUCUGUAUUUUUAGUAUAGACCGGGUUUCACCAUGUUGGCCAGGAUGGUCUUGAUCUCUUGACCUCAUGAUCCGCCCACCUCGGCUUCCCAAAGUGCUAGGAUUACAGGCGUGAGCCACCGCGCCCCGCUAUUUUGUGUGUGUGUGUGUGUGUGUGUGUGUGUGUGUGUGACAGAGUCUCGCUCUGUUCCCCAGGCUGGAGUGCAGUGGCGCAAUCUUGGCUCACUGCAACCUCUGCCUCCCGGUUCAAGCGACUCCCCUUCCUCACCCUCCUGAGUAGCUAGGAUUACAGGCAUGCACCACCACGCCCGGCUAAUUUUUGUAUUUUUAGUAGAGAUGGGGUUUCCCCGUGUUGGUCAGGCUGGUCUUGAACUCCUGACCUCAUGAUCUGCCCGCUUCAGCCUCCUAAAAUGCUGGGAUUACAGGCAUGAGCCCGGUCCUGUCCUUUCUUAUGGUCACAAAUCUGGCUUGCAUCGCUGGGCACAUCUUUAAUCCACAGCUUCUUUCUAGGAGUGCUUGAAAAGCUCUCCUUUUAUGAAGGUUAAUUUUAGUUAAAACCAGAGCAUCCUGGCCAGGCCUGGUGGCUCACGCCUGUAAUCCCAGCACUUUGGGAGGCCGAGGCAGACGGAUCAUGAGUGUAGGAGUUCGAGAACAGCCUGGCCAAAAUGGUGAAACCCCAUCUCUACUAAAAAAAAAAUACAAAAAUUAGCUGGCCGUGGUGACGGGUGUCUGUAGUCCCAGCUACUCUGGAGGCUGAGGCAGGAGAAUCUCCUGAACCCCGGAGGUGGAGGUUGCAGUGAACCGAGAUUGCGCCACUGCACUCCAGCCUGGGCGACAGAGACUCCAUCUCAAAAAUAAACAGAAAACCAGAGCAUCCUUUUAUCAAGAAGUCGGUGGAUUGCAGUAUUUCAAGGGUGAACAAGUAAAUGCAGCCUUCUCCAAGAGUGAAUCUCAUUCUGGCACCAGAAUUUAUCCAUGACAGAUAAUUGACCUUCUGAUAAACAUUCCUUGUAAGGAUGCUGGUGUUACCCAAAAUAUUAAAUAUUUAUAAAGCUGAAUAAAAUGUAAGUUCUGAUACCUUCCUCACUCUACAAAGGAUCAUUUCGUGCCUCACACUGUUUGCCAGGCCGUGCUGUAGCGCUUUGUCGUAAAAUACACACAGAUUUCAAUGACUUAAC
rnacentral:lncRNA from 10 species